UACUAUGUCCCAGGAACUGUGCCAGAUGC
rnacentral:piRNA from 1 species